rnacentral:rRNA from 1 species
UACAGAGGGUGCAAGCGUUAAUCGGAAUUACUGGGCGUAAAGCGCACGUAGGUGGUUAGAUAAGUUGGAUGUGAAAGCCCUGGGCUCAACCUAGGAAUUGCAUUCAAUACUGUUUGACUAGAGUAUGAUAGAGGAUAGUGGAAUUUCCGGUGUAGCGGUGAAAUGCGUAGAUAUCGGGAGGAACACCAGUGGCGAAGGCGACUACCUGGCCUGUUUCUUGACGCUGAGGCGCGAAAGCUAGGGGAGCAAACGGG